UACGUAGGGUCCGAGCGUUGUCCGGAAUUAUUGGGCGUAAAGGGCUCGUAGGCGGUCUGUUGCGUCGGGAGUGAAAACUUACAGCUUAACUGUGAGCGUGCUUCCGAUACGGGCAGACUUGAGGUAUUCAGGGGAGAACGGAAUUCCUGGUGUAGCGGUGAAAUGCGCAGAUAUCAGGAGGAACACCGGUGGCGAAGGCGGUUCUCUGGGAAUAUCCUGACGCUGAGGAGCGAAAGUGUGGGGAGCGAGCAGG
rnacentral:rRNA from 1 species